rnacentral:sRNA from 1 species
UGGGGACCACCGGCUCUCAGCAUUACGUUGUGGGCAUCUCUUUGGGUAUAGGUGCAUUUCCACGUGGCUUAAAGGACAAGUACGAAAAUGUCCCCAGGUAAGGACACAUUAACAUGUUAAGUCAGGCAGAUUCCUAGAACCACUCUAAUUAUGUCCUAUUGGGUUCUUUAGUGCAACAAGAAAGCCAGGCACAGUGACAUUGUCGUCCUUUAUGCCCGAACCCUGAGAGCUUUGGACACUAGUGAACAGGAGCGCAUGAAAAGGUAGGUGGUAAGAGUAUGCCUGGCUGGAAUGUUCCCUUUUGGUUCAUUGUAGGCACAUCUGAAAAAGAAGUUAUGAGUCACUCGUAGUGAGGUUUUACUUGACCUGUGACUUGGGAUCUCUGGGGAUCAUUGGCAGUCUGUCUUACACUGUUAUUUAUAAUUCAUGUCUGAUCAUCUUCUUAAGGAAGUCUGCAUCGUUUGCCUUAUGUAGAGCAUUAAACACAAGGAUCUGGCACAUUACUUCUGUUGCCAUUUUUGCUUCUCAUAUCCCUGACCACCCCCCACCCACAGCAGUUCUCCAUACAGAAAACUCAUAAGUGAAGCUUUGCACAUGCAGUGCAAUGUAAAAAAUUACCAGGAUUUCGGAAGCACAAAACAGUUGCU